rnacentral:rRNA from 1 species
UACGGGGGGGGCAAGCGUUGUUCGGAAUUACUGGGCGUAAAGGGCUCGUAGGCGGCCAACUAAGUCAGACGUGAAAUCCCUCGGCUUAACCGGGGAACUGCGUCUGAUACUGGAUGGCUUGAGAUUGGGAGAGGGAUGCGGAAUUCCAGGUGUAGCGGUGAAAUGCGUAGAUAUCGGGAGGAACACCAGUGGCGAAGGCGGCUGCCUGGACCUUUGCUGACGCUGAGGCGCGAAAGCGUGGGGAGCGAUCCGG